rnacentral:rRNA from 1 species
AUUGAACGCUGGCGGCAGGCUUAACACAUGCAAGUCGAGCGAGUGGCGGACGGGUGAGUAAUGUAUGGGAAACUGCCUGAUGGAGGGGGAUAACUACUGGAAACGGUAGCUAAUACCGCAUACCAUCAGAUGUGCCCAGAUGGGAUUAGCUAGUUGGUGGGGUAAGGGCUCAACUAGGCGACGAUCCCUAGCUGGUCUGAGAGGAUGACCAGCCACAUGGGAAUGGAGAUACGGGCCAGAAGCCUACGGGAGGCAGCAGUGGGGAAGAUUGCACAAUGGGCGCAAGCCUGAUGCAGCCAUGCCGCGUGUGUGAAGAAGGCCUUCUGGGUGUAAAGCACUUUCAGCGGGGAGGCGUUACUCGCAGAAGAAGCACCGGCUAACUCCGUGCCAGCAGCCGCGGUAAUUC